UGAAGCAAAUCAAUUUCAGGCAGAAGGAACUCAAAAAUAGUGAUGGCAGGGGAUAUUACCAUAAUGCAAAAAUAUGCUGCAAGUCAAUUCAGGUUUUCCAGGUCAUUUUUAAUUUACAAACUAUGUAAGAAAUAGUGACCGUGUGUUAUAUAGUAGCAUCGUAUGAUAUCUUCAACAUAGGAAUUACUUGUAGAUUGUCCCAUAUUUCGUUAAAAGAUGCAUGGUUUCAUUUUACAUGUUAACUGUAUUUCAGAUUUCAGUAGUAUUAAAUAUGGCAGAAAACAUCGGAGGAGAAGACCUUUAUCUGAAGAAAAAGAUGAAGACCGCUGGCCAUGGCCAACAUUUUCCUAUGAAGAAAACAAAUAAGGUUGCGGUGCAAGGUGGUCCCCUGCAGCUUGUGGAGGUGGUUGGCCUUGGCCAGGACAAAUUGUCGAUGCCGGUAACCUCUCUAUAUCCACUCCGUAGAGUUGGUGUUCUUCAUCCCCUUAUCUGAAAAUUCAUUUAGAAUAAGGCCACUUGCGCAUCCCGGGCACCUGCAAGCAAGCUCCACCAGAAUCUCCGUUUCCACUUCAGUUGUAGGCGAAGUCUAAAAUAGCUCUGCGGCAUUCUGCUCUAUUUGAGUAUUGCAAAGCACUCCAAGAGGUCUUUGUUUUCUUUGCCGUUGCUAAAUUUAGCAAAUAUGUAUCAUUUAAAAUAAAUUUGGGAUGAUUGGAAUGCAAAAGUGGUUCUUCUGGCUACAGUUCCUACUUGUGCUGGUAUGGAGUUCAGUUCACCAUUAUUUUGUUCAUUUGAAUGACCACAGAGUGUACUAUUUUACCAUUUUCCUGAUGCAUCUAAGUUUUAUAUACAAAUAAAUUGCAUGUUUCUGCUGCAAUCACAUCUCUGAUAAAUCAAAAUAGUCUCUAUAAUUCUCCUAUAUGUUUUUCCCAUUUCGGCUGUCAGGUUGCAGGCUUGCAGCUUAUUUCUUUUGUUACUUUGGCAGCCUAAUUGGAGAGGUUUCCUGUGUAGCUCAGUGAGAGUUAGGACUGUAUUUUCCCUCAAACAAGAUAUCCCAUGCCUUUUUUCAUUAAUGUUUCUAUGGUUUGGGAAAGUCCAGUCUUUGGCUUUGGCUUUGGCUUUGCCUUGCAUACCAAAUUGAAUCUCUAUUUUCUCUAUAACUCAUUAUCGUCAAUCGAUUUCUUAUCAUUAAUUUUUGAUGUGUACAAUUAGUUUAAUCUCGGCGAUGAAGGCUAAAAAAGAACUACCGUUUGCAAUACAUGCAUGUUUGCUAGAAUGGGUACAAAUCACUGCUUCGCUCUUGAGUUAUUAGUUUCAUUGUAUACCCUGUUUCAUGGAUGGUUCAUAUUUUUAGUUGAAGCUUCCAAUUAUUUGACAGUAAAGUAAUGCUUCAUCUAAUUUCAUAAAUACUAGAAACAUGUCAAUGUUUCUAAGCGGCAAAUUCUUAAUUGAUCUAUUUUCAUCGUUCAUCACAAUUAUAUCUUAUAUUCAUAGUGGGCAUUUGGCACCCAUGUCAGGGUCAAAGCUACAUACAAGACUGUUUACCCCCGCGGGAGACCGAAUAUCUUAGAAACAACAUCCUAAACAUUUAGCGCACAUGUCAUACCAACAACUGGUAGAACCUUGCUCUGGCAGUCCUGUACGUAGCUGAGACCCUGUGUGCUUUACUCAGGUUACCCCAAGUUGCGAA